UGCAUAGAUCACCACGCCUCUUUUCUUAACUUUAUCUGAUGAAAUAAAGUUAAGAAAAGAGGCGUGGUGAUCUAUGCAAA